rnacentral:misc_RNA from 1 species
CUUACCUGUUCCCCUUGAAGCAGGUGUGUUCAAGUAGACAUCCUUUAUUUCAUUUUGUUUUAUUGUUUGUUGGGUUGGGGAGGGGGAACUAGUAAAAGAAAAUUUGAAUGUUUUAUCUUCCUUGUACACAAUAACAAGCGCCUUUAUUCUGCCUUGAUACUUAGAAAAUUAUGAUUACUUCUGUAGUUGCUGUUAGAUAAAGGGCUGUAGCCUGUAGUUUUGCUGCUCUGCAUAAUAUGUUAACCUGUUCUUGGCAUGACAGGACAAAGAUUUGCCUUGAGAG